GAAAUGCGAUAAGUAAUGUGAAUUGCAGAAUUCCGUGAAUCAUUAAAUCUUUGAACGCACAUUGCGCCUUUUGGUAUUCCUCAAGGCAUGCCUGUUCGAGAAUCAGUUUAAUCAUCAAACCUUUUUUGGAAACAAAAUAUGUUUGGACUUGGGACUACUCGAAAGAGAGACCUUAAUUACAUUUGUUGCUAAUCUCUGGCGAGAUUAUAUGAACGGCAUGACCAUUGAACGCAAGUUCUUAUGAUUGCAACUAGUAUCUUUUCGCUUUUGAGGACGUACAGAAUCUUACACGAAGGAUUAACAUCCUUUAAGACUUGAUCUCGAAUCAGACAAGACUACCCGCUGAACUUAA
rnacentral:misc_RNA from 1 species